rnacentral:rRNA from 1 species
UACAGAGGGUGCGAGCGUUGUCCGGAAUCACUGGGCGUAAAGGGCGCGUAGGCGGCUUGAUAAGCGUGCGGUGAAAGCCCGGGGCUCAACCCCGGGUCGGCCGUGCGAACUGUCGAGCUGGAGCACUGUAGAGGCAGGUGGAAUUCCGGGUGUAGCGGUGGAAUGCGUAGAGAUCCGGAAGAACACCGGUGGCGAAGGCGGCCUGCUGGGCAGUGGCUGACGCUGAGGCGCGACGAGCGUGGGG